rnacentral:rRNA from 1 species
CGCGUCGGCUACGUAGGUGACCUGCGGAGGAUCAUUA